GAUGAACGCUAGCGAUAGGCCUAACACAUGCAAGUCGAGGGGCAUCACAUGAAGUAGCAAUACGGAUGGUGGCGACCGGCGCACGGGUGAGUAACACGUAUGCAACCUGCCUUCAACAAGGGGAUAACCCGUUGAAAGACGGACUAAUACCCUAUAACACAGGGGUCCCGCAUGGGAAUAUUUGUUAAAGGACAACCGGUUGAAGAUGGGCAUGCGUUCCAUUAGCUAGUUGGCGGGGUAACGGCCCACCAAGGCAACGAUGGAUAGGGGAACUGAGAGGUUUAUCCCCCACACUGGUACUGAGACACGGACCAGACUCCUACGGGAGGCAGCAGUGAGGAAUAUUGGUCAAUGGACGCAAGUCUGAACCAGCCACGUCGCGUGAAGGAAGACGGCCCUACGGGUUGUAAACUUCUUUUAUACGGGAAUAAAGU
rnacentral:rRNA from 1 species